CUAACACAUGCAAGUCGAGCGGCAGCGCGGGGGCAACCUGGCGGCGAGCGGCGGACGGGUGAGGAAUACAUCGGAAUCUACCCAGUCGUGGGGGAUAAGCCUGGGAAACUGGGUCUAAUACCGGAUAGGACCUUCUGCCGCAUGGUGGGGGGUGGAAAGGUUUUCCGGUGCAGGAUGGGCCCGCGGCCUAUCAGCUUGUUGGUGGGGUAACGGCCCACCAAGGCGACGACGGGUAGCCGGCCUGAGAGGGCGACCGGCCACACUGGGACUGAGACACGGCCCAGACUCCUACGGGAGGCAGCAGUGGGGAAUAUUGCACAAUGGGCGCAAGCCUGAUGCAGCGACGCCGCGUGAGGGAUGACGGCCUUCGGGUUGUAAACCUCUUUCAGUACCGACGAAGCGCAAGUGACGGUAGGUACAGAAGAAGCACCGGCCAACUACGUGCCAGCAGCCGCGGUAAUACGUAGGGUGCGAGCGUUGUCCGGAAUUACUGGGCGUAAAGAGCUCGUAGGCGGUUUGUCGCGUCGUCUGUGAAAACCCGCAGCUCAACUGCGGGCUUGCAGGCGAUACGGGCAGACUUGAGUACUGCAGGGGAGACUGGAAUUCCUGGUGUAGCGGUGAAAUGCGCAGAUAUCAGGAGGAACACCGGUGGCGAAGGCGGGUCUCUGGGCAGUAACUGACGCUGAGGAGCGAAAGCGUGGGUAGCGAACAGGAUUAGAUACCCUGGUAGUCCACGCCGUAAACGGUGGGCGCUAGGUGUGGGUUUCCUUCCACGGGAUC
rnacentral:rRNA from 1 species